rnacentral:tRNA from 1 species
UGCCGGUUAGCUCAGUCAGUUGAGUGUGGCGCUAACAACGCCAAGGUCACGGGUUCAAUUCCUGUUUGGUCAA